AUGCCACCUUCCGUGCACGACACGGAAGGCCUGCCGUUCAUGAAGCAUGGUUGUGUCUUCCGUGCAUACCGCCGGAAGAACGACAUGCUGGGACACGCUAUCCCUGAUUUAUGCCGCUUCAGCUUGGAUGAGUCUCCAUCGUGUGGAACCGGACUAGAAAGUUGCGACAAUGAUUCCCGUUGCCCACCGCUAUGGAUCGUGCCAUCCAUGAAGUACACCUGGGACUGGAACCUGGAGGAGGACAUACGCAAAUGUGUUGGCCUUCAUGAUUCUAGGACCUGGAAUCAUACCAGCCGAUGGUACCAUAUAACUGGAAUUAACCAAUGCAAGUCGAAGAAGGAUUGGCCGGUGCUACCGGCUGGUGUCAAGUUCGAUCCCACGGAUCAGGAGCUGAUCGAGCACCUUGAGGCCAAAGUGAGUGCUAACAGCGUGAGAUCUCACCCUCUCAUCGAUUUGUUCAUACCAACCAUCGACAGCGAGCACGGCAUAUGCUACACCCAUCAUAAGAAACUUCCAGGUAUCACACUGGGUGGCCUAAGCAAGCAUUUCUUCCAGCACAAUUCCAGGGCAUUCAAAAGGGGCACGUGGACGCCUCGCAAGAUACAGUCGGAGUGCGGCAUGCACGCGAUGUGGCACAACACUGGCAAUACCUUGCCGGUGAUGGUCAACGGCCGGCAGACGGGCAGCAAAAAGGUUCUGGUGCUGCACACCAACAAGAACUUCGACCAGCAGAGGACCAGCUGGGUGAUGCACCAGUACCACCUCGGGGACCUGGAGCAAGAGAAGGAGCGGGAGCUGGUCCUCUGCAAGAUUUUCUACCAGACGAACACUAGGGCCAGGAGUAAAAAGAUUAUAAGUCGAGCCCAGCCCAUGACGACAACGGGGCACAAAGAUCUAGCAGGUAUCUACUGGCCUCUGGCCCGCCAGCGUUAG
rnacentral:rRNA from 1 species